rnacentral:rRNA from 1 species
CAGCAGCCGCGGUAAUACGGAGGGUGCAAGCGUUGUUCGGAAUUAUUGGGCGUAAAGCGCGUGUAGGCGGUUGGGUAAGUCAGAUGUGAAAGCCUUCUGCUUAACAGAAGAAGUGCAUUUGAAACUGCUCGGCUGGAGUACGGGAGAGGAGAGUGGAAUUCCCGGUGUAGAGGUGAAAUUCGUAGAUAUCGGGAGGAACACCAGUGGCGAAGGCGGCUCUCUGGUCCGAUACUGACGCUGAGACGCGAAAGCGUGGGGAGCAAACAGGAUUAGAUACCCUGGUAGUCCACGCCGUAAACGAUGGGCACUAGGUGUAGGAGGUAUUGACCCCUUCUGUGCCGAAGCUAACGCAUUAAGUGCCCCGCCUGGGGAGUACGGCCGCAAGGCUAAAACUCAAAGGAAUUGACGG